GUGGGGAAUAUUGGACAAUGGGCGAAAGCCUGAUCCAGCCAUGCCGCGUGAGUGAUGAAGGCCUUAGGGUUGUAAAGCUCUUUCAGUAGGGAAGAUAAUGACGGUACCUACAGAAGAAGCCCCGGCUAACUUCGUGCCAGCAGCCGCGGUAAUACGAAGGGGGCUAGCGUUGUUCGGAUUUACUGGGCGUAAAGCGCACGUAGGCGGAUUGGUCAGUUAGGGGUGAAAUCCCAGAGCUCAACUCUGGAACUGCCCUUAAUACUGCCAAUCUAGAGUCCGGAAGAGGUGAGUGGAACUCCUAGUGUAGAGGUGGAAUUCGUAGAUAUUAGGAAGAACACCAGUGGCGAAGGCGGCUCAUUGGUCCGGUACUGACGCUGAGGUGCGAAAGCGUGGGGAGCAAACAGGAUUAGAAACCCUAGUAGUCC
rnacentral:rRNA from 1 species